AAUUAUAGAUGGGUUGCAAUUAUAAAUGGCAACACAUCAUUGUAUCAUGACAUGUGAUGAAGUGAUGGACAGUGAGUGGUUGCUGUAGGCCGGUGGUGGCAGUGCUGGUGAUCUGGUGGUGGCAUCCUCCCGUCUUGUCUUGCUGUUUCCCGGGGAGUGGGUUGUCUUCACUGAGAGUGUUUUUCUUUGGAUCCCUCCCCUGCACUAGCCUUCAUCCCUUCACUUUGGCCUCAGCUUUGGUUAGGUUUUUCCCUUUUUUUGUGAGCAUUUAAAAGAAAAAAUUUCAUGUGUCUCAUCACCGUUUUGGAACAAAAGUUUCAGAAGCAAGAAUGGCUCUUUAUCGUGUGGCUGUUUUGGCGCUCGUCGUUCUCCUGCUGCUUUAUGUUGCAGACAACGAGGCAGAUGUUGCUACCCGUCCUUUUGUGAUAGUUGAGCCACGCUAGAAGACUCAGCAGAUGUUUGGACAGACAGAAGACAUUGUUGUGGAGGAGUUGACUCUUAACUCGGAUGACUUCAAAAUGUUAAAACUACCUGCUUGUUGCUGAUUUCUGUGCAGUUCAAAUGGCUAAGAUGGAAUAAAAAUAUUCUUGGUUGA